UUUCCGUAGGUGAACCUGCGGAAGGAUCAUUAUUGUAUAACCGAGGUGCGAGGGCUGUCGCUGACCCGAAAGGUCGUGCACGCCCGAGUGCCCUCACACACAUCCAUCUCACCCCUAUGUGCACCACCGCGUGGGUCCCCCUUUGGCUUGUUCGGAGGGGGGCUUACGUUUUCACACAAACUUUGUAUGCAGUGUAGAAUGUAUUUUUUGUUUUUGCGAUCACGCAAUCAAUACAACUUUCAACAACGGAUCUCUUGGCUCUCGCAUUGAUGAAGAACGUAGC
rnacentral:misc_RNA from 1 species